AAGAUCAAGAUGUUCAAGCUCCUCUAAACGGGUGAACAAUGACUCAGGAAUUGAUCCAUUCAAAUUGCUUUCAGACAAAUCAAGAUAAGUUAGGUUCCUACACCCUAAUAUGAAAUCAGGGAACCUUGAUUGGCUAUACCA